rnacentral:rRNA from 1 species
GCACAAGCGGUGGAUGAUGUGGUUUAAUUCGAUGCAACGCGAAAACCUUACCCACCUUUGACAUGUACGGAAUCCUUUAGAGAUAGAGGAGUGCUCGAAAGAGAACCGUAACACAGGUGCUGCAUGGCUGUCGUCAGCUCGUGUCGUGAGAUGUUGGGUUAAGUCCCGCAACGAGCGCAACCCUUGUCAUUAGUUGCUACAUUCAGUUGGGCACUCUAAUGAGACUGCCGGUGACAAACCGGAGGAAGGUGGGGAUGACGUCAAGUCCUCAUGGCCCUUAUAGGUGGGGCUACACACGUCAUACAAUGGAUGGUACAAAGGGUCGCCAACCCGCGAGGGGGAGCCAAUCCCAUAAAGCCAUUCGUAGUCCGGAUCGCAGUCUGCAACUCGACUGCGUGAAGUCGGAAUCGCUAGUAAUCGUGAAUCAGAAUGUCACGGUGAAUACGUUCCCGGGCCUU